AUAUACAAGGUGUGGUGCAUGUAAG
rnacentral:misc_RNA from 1 species